rnacentral:misc_RNA from 1 species
GGAGUAAAAGUCGUAACAAGGUUUCCGUAGGUGAACCUGCGGAAGGAUCAUUAAUGAGUUGUCAUGGGGUUCGAUGCUGGCAGCCAGUUUUUGGAUGCAUGUGCUUGCCCUAACAAUCAUCUUCUUCCAAACACCCGUGCACAUUUUUGAGGGAGUCUUGAGUUGGUUGCCGCUCUUGGGUGAUUUUCUCACAUUCCCUUAAAUCAUUAUACGCUAUUAACAAUGUUGAACGUGCUCUGUGCCGCAAGGCCAUUAAUAUAAUACAACUUUUAACAACGGAUCUCUUGGCUCUC